AUUGAACGCUGGCGGCAGGCUUAACACAUGCAAGUCGAACGAGUGGCGGACGGGUGAGUAAUUCUUUGGUAUCUUGCUUAUGGAGGGGGAUAACUACGGGAAACUGUAGCUAAUACCGCGUACCAUAGGUUGAGCCCACGUGGGUUUAGGUAGUUGGUGAGGUAAAGGCUCACCAAGACGACGAUCUCUAGCUGGUCUGAGAGGAUGACCGGCCACACUGGAACGGGUACACGGCCCAGACGCCUACGGGAGGCAGCAGUGGGGAAUAUUGCGCAAUGGGGGCAACCUGACGCAGCCAUGCCGCGUGAAUGAAGAAGGCCUUCGGGUUGUAAAGUUCUUUCGGUAGCGAGGCGUUAACUAAAGAAGAAGCAACGGCUAACUCCGUGCCAGCAGCCGCGGUAAUAG
rnacentral:rRNA from 1 species